GAUAGGUUUUGAUAAAUCUCCCCCUGGGUUAUUUGUAAAACAGUCCCUAAAGCUGGCCAGAGAUAUUAGACAUGGGUCAGCCAAACCCGCCGAUUUCAGUAGGACCAGAAAAUUCGUCCAGCACUUGACUCAGGGAACGGUAUCUUUAUUAAGGUGCCAUGGAGAACAGCACCGACAGCACCGACAAGGAGUACAGUAAAAGAGCUAGUCACAUGAUACGGAUCACCACAGGCGAGACAGAUAAGGUGAAGAUCAUCAGCUAAGAAUUUUACAGAAUUAAAUUAUCUAAAACUGUAUACAUAUGGAGGUACACAGACGACUCCUGACGUAUCUGCCCUGGUCUUAUGGAGGUACACAGACGACUCCUGACGUAUCUGCCCUGGUCUUAUGGUCCAUUUACAGUUCUUAUUUUUCUCUCUAUCUCUCUUACAUUAGUCAUUUUGUCACCAAGUGGUUUUCACACCUUUGAAAGUAAAUAAAUGUUUCCU